AACGAACGCUGGCGGCAUGCCUAACACAUGCAAGUCGAACGAGACCUUCGGGUCUAGUGGCGCACGGGUGCGUAACGCGUGGGAACCUGCCCUUAGGUUCGGAAUAACUCCCCGAAAGGGGUGCUAAUACCGGAUAAUGUCUUCGGACCAAAGAUUUAUCGCCUUUGGAUGGGCCCGCGUUGGAUUAGCUAGUUGGUAGAGUAAAAGCCUACCAAGGCGACGAUCCAUAGCUGGUCUGAGAGGAUGAUCAGCCACACUGGGACUGAGACACGGCCCAGACUCCUACGGGAGGCAGCAGUGGGGAAUAUUGGACAAUGAGCGAAAGCCUGAUCCAGCAAUGCCGCGUGAGUGAUGAAGGCCUUAGGGUUGUAAAGCUCUUUUACCCGGGAUGAUAAUGACAGUACCGGGAGAAUAAGCUCCGGCUAACUCCGUG
rnacentral:rRNA from 1 species